CAGCAGCAGCCACGGUAAUACGAAGGGUGCAAGCGUUAAUCGGAAUUACUGGGCGUAAAGCGUGCGUAGGCGGUGAGUUAAGUCUGCUGUGAAAUCCCCGGGCUCAACCUGGGAAUGGCAGUGGAUACUGGCUCGCUAGAGUGUGUCAGAGGAUGGUGGAAUUCCCGGUGUAGCGGUGAAAUGCGUAGAGAUCGGGAGGAACAUCAGUGGCGAAGGCGGCCAUCUGGGACAACACUGACGCUGAGGCACGAAAGCGUGGGGAGCAAACAGGAUUAGAUACCCCCGUAGUCCCUGUCUCUUAUAC
rnacentral:rRNA from 1 species